rnacentral:tRNA from 1 species
GCCGAUUUAGUUAAGGGGUAUAACAGACCCAUGGUAAGGGUCAGUGAACAGUUCGACUCUGUUAAUCGGCACCA